UCGGUUUUUAGUCGGUUAUUUC
rnacentral:siRNA from 1 species